rnacentral:rRNA from 1 species
CAAGGCAACUUGCGGUUAUAUGGUCAAGCGAAUAAGCGCACACGGUGGAUGCCUUGGCGGUCAGAGGCGAUGAAGGACGUGGCAGCCUGCGAAAAGUAUCGGGGAGCUGGCAACAAGCUUUGAUCCGGUAAUGUCCGAAUGGGGAAACCCACCCGCUUGCGGGUAUCCUGCAGUGAAUACAUAGCUGCUGGAAGCGAACCUGGUGAACUGAAAUAUCUAAGUAACCAGAGGAAAAGAAAUCAACCGAGAUUCCGUAAGUAGCGACGAGCGAACGCGGACUAGCCCUUAAGCUGGAUUGGUUCUAGGAAAACGCUCUGGAAAGAGCGGCCAUAGAAGGUGAUAGCCCUGUAUCUGAAAGGGCCAUUCCAGUGAAGACGAGUAGGGCGGGGCACGUGAAACCCUGUCUGAACAUGGGGGGACCAUCCUCCAAGGCUAAAUACUACUGACCGACCGAUAGUGAACCAGUACCGUGAGGGAAAGGCGAAAAGAACCCCGGAGAGGGGAGUGAAAUAGAACCUGAAACCGUGUGCGUACAAGCAGUAGGAGCUCCGCAAGGAGUGACUGCGUACCUUUUGUAUAAUGGGUCAGCGACUUACUGUUCGUGGCAAGCUUAACCGUAUAGGGGAGGCGAAGGGAAACCGAGUCUGAUAAGGGCGCAUAGUCGCGGGCAGUAGACCCGAAACCGGGUGAUCUAGUCAUGCCCAGGGUGAAGGUGCGGUAACACGCACUGGAGGCCCGAACCCACUCCCGUUGCAAAGGUAGGGGAUGAGGUGUGAUUAGGAGUGAAAAGCUAAUCGAACCCGGAGAUAGCUGGUUCUCCUCGAAAGCUAUUUAGGUAGCGCCUCAUAUGUAUCCUCUCGGGGGUAGAGCACUGUUAUGGCUAGGGGGUCAUCGCGACUUACCAAACCAUUGCAAACUCCGAAUACCGAGACGGACUGUAUGGGAGACACACGGCGGGUGCUAACGUCCGUCGUGAAAAGGGAAACAACCCAGACCCACAGCUAAGGUCCCAAAUUUUGUGCUAAGUGGAAAACCAUGUGGAAAGGCACAGACAGCCAGGAGGUUGGCUUAGAAGCAGCCACCCUUUAAAGAAAGCGUAAUAGCUCACUGGUCGAGUCGGUCUGCGGGGAAGAUUUAACGGGGCUAAGCACAGAACCGAAGCUUGGGGUGCAUAACUUUGUUAUGCGCGGUAGAGGAGCGUUCCGUAAGCCGUUGAAGGUGGAUUGAGAAGUCUGCUGGAGGUAUCGGAAGUGCGAAUGCUGACAUGAGUAACGAUAAUGCGGGUGAAAAACCCGCACGCCGAAAGCCCAAGGUUUCCUUGCGCAACGUUAAUCGGCGCAGGGUGAGUCGGCCCCUAAGGCGAGGACGAAAGUCGUAGUCGAUGGGAAGCAGGUUAAUAUUCCUGCACCUCGCGUAAGUGCGAUGGAGGGACGGAGAAGGUUAGGUGUACCAGGCGUUGGUUGUCCUGGGGAAAGGCGGUAGGUUUGGAUCUUUGGCAAAUCCGGGAUCCUCUAAGACCGAGCACCGAGACGAGCCUUUAUGGCGAAGUCACUGAUACCACGCUUCCAGGAAAAGCUCCUAAGCUUCAGCUUACGCAGACCGUACCGUAAACCGACACAGGUGGGUAGGAUGAGAAUUCUCAGGCGCUUGAGAGAACUCGGGUGAAGGAACUAGGCAACAUGGCACCGUAACUUCGGGAGAAGGUGCACCCUUUUUGGUGGCUCGUGCGAGCUAUAGCUGAAGAGGGUCGCAGUAACCAGGCCGCUGCGACUGUUUAUCAAAAACACAGCACUCUGCAAACACGAAAGUGGACGUAUAGGGUGUGACGCCUGCCCGGUGCUGGAAGGUUAAUUGAUGGGGUCAGCCGCAAGGCGAAGCUCUUGAUCGAAGCCCCAGUAAACGGCGGCCGUAACUAUAACGGUCCUAAGGUAGCGAAAUUCCUUGUCGGGUAAGUUCCGACCUGCACGAAUGGCGUAACGACAGCGGCGCUGUCUCCACCCGAGACUCAGUGAAAUUGAAAUCGCUGUGAAGAUGCAGCGUUCCCGUGGCAAGACGGAAAGACCCCGUGAACCUUUACUAUAGCUUUACACUGAACGUUGAGUUCGUCUGUGUAGGAUAGGUGGGAGGCUAUGAAACUGUGGCGCUAGCUGCAGUGGAGCCAUCCUUGAAAUACCACCCUGUCGUGCUUGACGUUCUAACCUGGGCCCAUUAUCUGGGUCGGGGACCGUGUAUGGUGGGUAGUUUGACUGGGGCGGUCUCCUCCUAAAGAGUAACGGAGGAGCUCGAAGGUACGCUCAGCGCGGUCGGACAUCGCGCACUGUGUGCAAAGGCAUAAGCGUGCUUGACUGCAAGAUCGACGGAUCAAGCAGGUAGGAAACUAGGACUUAGUGAUCCGGUGGUUCUGUAUGGAAGGGCCAUCGCUCAACGGAUAAAAGGUACUCCGGGGAUAACAGGCUGAUACCGCCCAAGAGUUCAUAUCGACGGCGGUGUUUGGCACCUCGAUGUCGGCUCAUCACAUCCUGGGGCUGUAGUCGGUCCCAAGGGUAUGGCUGUUCGCCAUUUAAAGUGGUACGCGAGCUGGGUUCAGAACGUCGUGAGACAGUUCGGUCCCUAUCUGCCAUGGGCGUUGGAGAUUUGAGAGGGGCUGCUCCUAGUACGAGAGGACCGGAGUGGACGAACCUCUGGUGUUCCGGUUGUCACGCCAGUGGCAUUGCCGGGUAGCUAUGUUCGGAAGCGAUAACCGCUGAAAGCAUCUAAGCGGGAAGCGCGCCUCAAGAUGAGAUCUCCCGGGGCACAAGCCCCCUGAAGGAACCAUGUAGACUACGUGGUUGAUAGGUCAGGUGUGUAAGUACAGCAAUGUAUUGAGCUAACUGAUACUAAUGAUCCGUGCGGCUUGACCAU